UUCAAACUCCUGGACUCGGCCCAGCAUGGUGGCUCAUGCCUGUAAUCCCAUCAUUUUGGGAGGCAAAGGCGGGAGGAUCACUUGAGGCCAGGAGUUUGAGAAUAACCUGGGCAACAAAUGAUUCUCUCACCUCAGAUCAACCUCCUGAGGAGCUGGGACUACACCACAGGUGUGUGCCACCGUGCCCAGCUUUCUUUUUGUUUUCUUUUUUCUUUCUUUCUUUUUUUUUUUUUUUUUUUUGGACAAGGUUUUGCUCUGUGGCCCAGGCUAGAGUACAGUGAUGCGAUGUGAUCAUAGCUCACUGCAGCCUCAAACUCCUGGGCUCAAUCGAUCCUCUCACCUCAGCUUUCUAAGUAGCUCAGAUUACAGGCAUGCAUCACCAUGUCCACCUAAUUUUUUAUUUUUAUUUUUGUAUAGAUGGGAUCUUGUUGCUUUCUCAUUUUUCAUUUCACAUUCUCUCUUUUGGUUGUUGUUGUUUUUUUUUUUUUUUUGGUUUUGGGAGUGUGUGUGUGUGUUUUUUUUUUUUUUUUGAGACAGUGUCUCACUCUGCCUCCCAGGCUGGCAUGCAGUGGCACGAUCUCGGCUCAUUGCAGCCUCUGCCUCCCAGGUUCAAGGGAUUCUCGUGCCUCAGGAAAUGUAGAAAUUAAUUAAAUGUACUUAAUUCAUCAUACAAGCAUUUAACAGCAGGCUGGCAGGAUGCAAUGGCUCAUGCCUGUAAUCCCAGCACUUUGGGAGGCCCAGGUGGGAAGAUUGCUUGAGACCAGAAGGUCAAAAUUAGCCCUGGCAACAUAUGAAGAACCCCUCUCUACAAAAAAAUUAAAAAAUUAGCCAGGUGUGUGGUGGUGUGUGCCUAUAGUCCCAGCUACUCAGNNNNNNNNNNUUCCAGCCUCUGCCUCCCAGGUUCAAGGGAUUCUCGUGCCUCAGCCUCCUAAGGAUUACAAGUGUGUGCCACCA
rnacentral:lncRNA from 1 species